CACUUGCCUCAAUUAAUCUGCA
rnacentral:siRNA from 1 species